GAGGUACUUUUUGCGGGAAACGAGUAGGAAACGUCUGGAAACGGAGGACCGUGCCCCUAUCCCCGGAACAUUCGAGUAUUUGGGAAAGCAGUUCAAGCUCUAUCACGAAUUAGUGACGAGUUCUGGCUAGACCCAUCUAAAAAAGGUCUUGCUCUAAGAUGUGUGAAUUCUUCUCGGUCAGCAUAUGGAUGUGUCCUGUUCUCUCCUGUGUUUUUUCAACAUUAUCAAUGGUCAGCUUUAGUGAAAAUGAGUGAAAAUGAACUUGACACAACACUGAAUUUAAAAUGCAAAUUGGGAAUGAAGUCAAUUUUGCCCAUCUUUAGAUGUCUGAAUUCCCUUGAAAGAAAUAUAGAGAAGUGCAGAAUAUUCACCAGAUCUGAUAAAUGCAAAGUAGUUAUUCAAUUCUUCUACAGACAUGAUUGCUUGCUGAUGCCAUUGUUCUUUUUACAUCAAGUCAAGAGGAAGUUACUCUUGCUGUUACUCCACUGAAUUUUUGCCUCAAGAGUUCUAAUGAGGAAUCAAUGGAUUUGAGCAAUGCUGUAUACAGUGAGAUGUU
rnacentral:sRNA from 1 species